rnacentral:siRNA from 1 species
CCUCCGUAGGUGUUGGUUCGG